CUUUGAACUUGUGAUCUUCCUGCCUCAGCCUCCCAAGCUGCUGGGAUCGAAAUUAUUUUUUUAAAAAAAUUAAAAAGAGGCUGGGGAUACAGCUCAGAGGUCAGGUGCCCUGGGUUCAAUCCCAUUUCCACACACACACCAUCUGGGAGCAUUUGCUCAUCCAUUUAUUCACUCAGCAAAUGAAGGCACCUCCAGCACACAGAGCGCCCACUAGGAGGCUACCCUGAUUCAGCGCUGCAGGACAGAGGCCGAUAGGGUGGAGGCUGUCUAAUGCGGAGGGCAGACUGGGUAGGUGA
rnacentral:lncRNA from 1 species